GUGCAGUUUUUCCUAAGCUUUGGAGUAACUUUCAGCACUUUGUUAUGCCUCUUUGUGAGGGUGUGGGCACACCCUGCACUGAGCAGUCUGUAGCUGCAUUAUAUUGUUUUGGUUUUUAUUUUUCAGUGGAAUUACAGACAAAAUAAUGACUGAGAUUUGAGCUGCAUCCUUGAAAGACAAGGCGAUGCUUCUUUAGCAGCUGUUGCUCUUAGAAUUUACUGAGAGCUUUAUUGGUACAUGAGCUCUUUUCAGGACUGUGCUUCCUCUGGUAUAUUAGAAGCUAUUUCUUGGCAUGAAGUAAUUAGGCAAGGCAAUUGUACAGCGGGAGGCAUGGGAAUGCUGGCUGAUCAUGGUCUGCUCCUUGCUCAAGUGCCGUACUCACUGAUGAGCCCAUCCUUGCUGUUGGCAGUUGUUUUCUGGGACAAAUGAGGUUGCUGGGGUCUGCAGGCUUCCACAGGGCUAAGGCCUGGAGCUUCAGGAGAUAUCUCUAUAGAGCAGCACUUUCUGUAAGCAAACAUGGGUGUCCUCAAGGAGAGGUGGUCAUUGGUCAUUAAAUGUCCUCUCAGAAGGACUGCGAUGCAAUCUGUGGUUUGAAACUUGUGUGCCCACAGCCACUGGAGCAUGAGGGGUCCAUGUCUUGUUUUCUGAUGUGUAUUUGUGUAAGGUGGUGAAGUUGGCCCAAAGAGACAGCAGUGCCCUUCCUCCCAUUUGUCACUACAUCUGGAAGAAAAAAUUGGUUUCUUUUCUUAAGAAGUUCCUGCAGAGCUUCACUUGUUGUGAGUUCUCCAAAUGGGCCCAUUUUGGUCAGUCUGUGGAGAAGUUACUGGCUUUAUCUGCUCCCUGCUCACCCAGAGGCUGUUGGUGCUCAGCUUGGCACUGAUGGUGGAUGACUCAGCCACCCCGCAAGGAUUGCAAACCUCUUUGGGAAUCCUUGCUCUGUGGCUAGUGAGAAGGUGAUAUUGUUAGUGACAGCACAAAAAGAUUGGCUGAAAUAAUAUAAAGAGGUUUCCAUGGUGAUCCCUUCAUACCGCAGUAAGUUUCAUCCUGCAGUCAGCUGGGCUGUGCUUCUUCCCCUGGAGGAAGAGUCUUCUGCUCCCCCCGCAUUGUUAGUUACUGCUUGUGCUGGGAAAUGCUGACAGACCCCAAGCAAAGCCAGUAACAUGGACAUCUCUGCAAUAGCUUUGUGGAUUGUCUUAGAAAGGUUGGUCUGGUCAGGUGGUGUGUGAGCGCUUUAGAAAUCACCUUGCUUUCUUUUAUAGAUAAAUACUAGAUAUCAAGGUACUGAUGGAGCUAAAGACUAUUAAUAGAGUAAAGAAAUAGGUUUCUUCCCACUUUAUAGCUGGGGAAACAAACAUAAUGAAAUGAUGGAAGAGUCCCAAAACCAGAGCCCAGCUGACAUAAGAGGCAGGAAGUAAAAUGUGUUACCAAGCUCCAAGUUUCUUCUCCUCAGCCACAGAAGACACUUUCUCUCCCGUGGUGCAGGGAUUUUGAUGCCAGUAGGUGCUGACCUGCAGAGAACACCUUGGUGGAGAAGGGAAGCUCUUAACACUUGAGUGACUGCUCCAAGAGCAGCGCUGAGAGGCAAGGAAGAGGCAAGGGGUCCCAUGAAAGCGUGACCUCUCUUUCCAGGAAAUGAGGAAACCCCUCUGGCUGUCAGAGCUGCUUACUCACAGUGCCACAUCAGCAUGACAGCUCCGAAGAAGAGAGCAGCUGCAAGACGUGCCUUGCUUUGGUGGAGGCUCAGCAACAGCUUCACUACUCAUCAUCUCAGGAUAAGAGCAUCUCUCCAUCUGCAUCUCGAUGUGUUGCAAACACAGUGCAAGUCAGUCUUUGCCAUCCAAAACAUUCUUAGUAAGAGCAGCAGCGUUUCUCUGAGAAGAAAUUGGAGAGGUGCCAUCCCACCUGCUCUGCUGCAGGACUCUGGAUAAUCAUACCUGAUCGGCAUUGGCAGGCAGCCACUGGAAACCGCUAGCAGCACGCUCAGAAAUUGCACCAAGCUUUGGAGACGAAGUUACCUUUCAACAUCUAUGUCCUAACACACCAAGAGAGCUUAUGUGUCUAACUCAGCCUUCUGGAUCAGCAGUGCUAAUGGAAAGGGGCUUGAUCUGAAGCAUUCUGGAGCAGGUGAGUGGUUGGGAAAGGCUGAUGCUGGCUUUGCUAUUUACUUGAUCUAAUGGAUAAACUUGUGUGAGAUCUAUGAGAUCCAGCAUGGAAAUCAGGCAUGAGGGACUUCCCACCUGUACCUCUUUGAUUAAUCUUUGUCUUUUAGGGAUUCUGUUGCUGUGUUGGGGCACAUGCCACUCUGCUCAGUGUAUCCACGUGUGGCAAUACUCUAAAGGGCAUUUUUAGCUUAGACCUUAUUUUUCACUUGCAAUGCUCUUUUUUGGAAAGAAAAUCCUGGCCACAUCUGCAGCAAGGACUGAGUGUUAAGGGUGGGAUGAAGGGGAUUGGUGUCCCCACUGCCCCCCAGGUUCUCCCAUCUCCCGUGGGACUCAGGAGAGCUGCAGAUUGUCACAAGCAGGCAAUGCAAUUUUCUGCAGCUUGCUGAGAUCUAAGGCAGCCAGCCUGACUCCAUUUUAAGGGAAAAUUCCUGCAUAAGAGGCAAAAAGAGACAGAUCAGCAUUACUAAGUGGAUUUGAAGCCAUGUACUCAGUCCAAACAAGGCAGUGCUGCAGCAGCAUCCUGCCCAGAGCUGAGGCAUCGUACAGCCCUGUUUGGGUGCAGCCAAACACUGACUGUCAUCCAUUCUGUAAAUUAAAUUUCACUCCCCUCAGUUGUUGAAGGAUUGCUGAUCUUGCAGGUUAGCAUGAAUUGAUUCCAAAACCUGUAAGAGUAGUGAAGAGAGAGCUUUGGCAGCUUUUGGGUCCAGCCUCAUGUAGAAGGUCCUUCUGCCCGGGGAGGAAUGAGGUAGGUGCUCUGGGAGUGGGUUUUCCUCUCAGUUCUGAAACCUCCCACAAAGGACUGAACUAAUGGACCAAAUAGCUCAAACCUUUUCUUCAAGACAUUGAGAAGGGUCCCGCUGUGAGCCAAAGGGCUGAGUGUCUCCUUGAACCAGGGUGUAGAUCCGGUUGCAAUAUCCUUGUUCCUUAGCCUGAAGUCUGUGCAGUGGGACUGGAGGAGGAAAAUGUAAGCGACUAACUGGAGACGGGAGAAUACUGCUGGGUUGGCAGGGCCUGAAAAGCAGAAAAUAAGGGAAAAACAAACAAACAACAACAACAAAGCCAAACCCAAAAGCACGAUGCUUUCUUCUACCUGUAAAUGACUCCUGCUGAGUUUCCUAGUGAUGUGCAGAGGGGAAAUAACUUACGUAGGCUACUGUACAAUGCAGGUUUUUAUAAUACUGUAUCUAUUUAAACAGAGGAAUAUGCUUAUUCCUGAUGAAGUCUCUGAAAAAACAGCAGUAUGUCUCUUGACCCAAGUCUUUAACUGGAACUGUCUUGCCAUUUAAUUUCAUUAAAUUGCCUGGACUAUGGGGAGUUCAUUAGUAAGUAAUCCAAAGGCUAAAGCUCUCUGAGCUAGUUCAGCUCUCAAAUGCUUAUUUGUUUGCCAGAUUCAGUAAAGCAAAACCCCUUAAUAGGCAUUGGCAGUAUUUACAAUGUGCUCUCCUCUGAUGUGGGAACAGCAACACAUGUACCAGGAUGACUUCAUAUUUUGGCAUGAGAUUUUCAGAGGACACCUCCAGGACAGUCACACAGCUCCCUGCCUUCUACUGGGCAAGCUUGGGUGCUUGUGCAGAGGCUGCUUUGUGUCCCAAAAUUCUUGCUUCUGGCAAAGUGAGACAGAGAAUCUCAUAUAUUUCCAAAAAGCUUUCAGGGAUGGCUACUGUCACCAGCAAUGCGAUGCUGAACCUGCAAGGGCUUUUUCAUCCUGCUGGGCCAUGUACUGGAUUACAAUCUGUUUUAUUUCAUGCCAUUUGCCCAAAAGACACCAAAGAUGUAAAGUGCCUCUAAGAUGUUGGCGGAUUGUUAAAAAAUAAAAAGGAUGAUGAAUUGCUGCUUAUUUCCUCUGAGUGGGGAUUCAGAGGACUGAGAAGGGUAAGGAGCUUUCUCCUGCUGUGUAAAGGGAGCUGGGAACCCAGAAAGCAAGUGAAUGUAGUUAAGUUUCAGAGUACUUAAUUCAUCAGGUAUAAACAAGAUUUAUAGGUGAGUGAGCUGAAGGUUUGGAAGGAGAGCUCACUAAAGGUGCCUGAAAUAGCUGAAGGAAUAUCCUGGUUCCUGUACACCUGACUUUAUUUUUUUAAGGCAGCACGUAAAGACCAACCAAACCCUCUGCUGGAAGCCUAGAGGGGAUUCCACGUCCCACAAGACCCCUUGAGCAUUUAAAAAAAUAAUAAAACUUCUUGAUGUGCUUGUUGGUGGAAGUCCAAUGCAAUCAUUUGGCCCUUGGGCUGGAGCUAAGGGCUGGGGCUCUACACAACAAAACUUCCCUGACUUGAGCUAAAGCUGGUGAUGCCUGAGGUGGAAAUAGGAUUUUCUGUAUUUGAAAGCUAUUUUGUAAAAUAGUUCUUGCUGAGUUUUAGUGCAGCUGCUGCACGAGUUGUUUUAAAAGUACCUGGUGCCAUCUGCCUGGUGCCUCUCACAAAGAAGUUCUAGAAUGAAUAUUCCAGUGGGAAAAUCAUCAACCUGAGCAAUAGAUACUCGACCAUUGGCAGAUAUGAGGAAGUUUCAGCACUGCAGGUUUGAUUGCAGAGGUGGAUUUUGAUGGGGCCAUCAGUACCAAACAACCAACAGACCAACAUCUCCCUCCUGGGGUUGUCCAGACCUGUCUGAAUUUACAGCAGGGCACGUAAUCCCAGAAAGAUCUCGUGCUGAGCAAGGUGCUGCCUAAUGCAACUCGCUUGUCUUCUGCACAGCAGAAGCUGGUGGGCAGCUCCGGGGCAUGCACAGUGUGAGCUGACUUGGUCGCUGGGGAAAGGGGCCGAGGUCCAGCUCUGGGUGCAGACAGUCCAGGCACUGUGGAAGAGCCAGAAUUAUCCGCAGUUCUGACAGUCUCCAUCAGCAGUUUGGUGUUUGCAAAAGCAAUCUUCCCUCACCCUCCCUAGUGGAUACUGAGCAAGCACAAGAUCGGCCUUACGACAGCGAGGGCUGCGUUUUUAUUCCUUGAACUUUCUUGCUGCUACUUUCUGGACCCGGAAAGCCCAUCCCGGGUGUUUCCCUACGAGAGCAGCGGGGAUGAGCAGAGAACAAACGCGGCACAGCAACGACACCUCGCGGUGCACAGUGACUGCUGCAUGUGCUGCCUGCGAGCAAAGCACCUGGAGCACCCACACAUGUGGGCACUGCCUUCGAUUGGUAUCUCCUCGAGCCUUUACUUUUAAAGUCUCUGUUACAAAGUAUUGAGAUCUUUUCUCUCCAGCACGUUUUGGCGAAGCCUGUUCUCCACCCAUCCGCAGAUAUCUGCAGACGUAAUCACACAAUAAGGUUUUGUUUUCUUUUUGCAAGUAGUAUGUGCAAAUAUUCUGUUGUGUAUCUGAGGCUCAGUGUAGCUGAAGACACGUCUCCAGAUGCAGAGCAGAAAUUGGUAAUCACAGCCUGAACCUCUGAUUAAUCAGCUGAGGUAAGUGUCGGUCAGCUGUGGGAGCACAGGUGAGACUAAUUUAGCUGUGCUCCCAGAAGGGGUGGAGCUUGACUCUACCUCCUCUAGACUUUAUUUAAGGGUUGACCACCACUAAGGCAGUAUCUUUUGGAGGUUGCUCCCUGGUGGAGAUUGUCUCAGCAUUUCCCAAUGAAGGCAUCCAUAUUGGUGAGUGUUUUCCUAUAAAUAACCUUUUGAAUAUCUGUUACCAUUUUUGUAUUAUUCCACCUUACAAUCCUAUAUGAGGGCUGUAGUGUCCUUCUCUUUCCACUUAUAUAGGUCUAAAGGGGAGCUGUAGGCAAAAGUCAUAGUCACAGCAUAGCUUGAAGGGGCCUCAAAGCCCAUCCAGUUCCAAAUCCUGCUGUGGGCAGGGCUGCCAGUCACUAGCUCAGGCUGCCCAGGGUGCCAUCCAACCUGGCCUUGAGCACAUCCAUGGACAAAACAUCCACAGUCUCUCUGGGCAACCUAUUUCAGACCUCAGUAACCUCUGAGAGAAAAUCUUCCCUUUGACAUCUCAUUUAAAUCUUCCUCCCUUUUGUUUAAAGUCAUUCCAGACUUGUCCAUUGGAGCUCAGAACUCAAGGUUUCAGAGUGGAAGUUGAGUUGGUGCCAACCAUUACCCAGCAGCCCAUUCAAAGUGCCAGCCCAGCUCAAGAAGCAGAAUAUUCUUCUGAAGGCCCUUUAGCUUCAACCUACAUUGAGCUAUGACCAUUUUUAUACUGAACUCCUGCAAAAUCAGCAUGUCUGGGAACCACGACAGAGUGUUGGCAGUUAAGUUUCUCUUUGAGUCUUUGUUCACACCAGUGCUUCAGAGCAGAGCUAGCAAGGCUGAGGUCAUGCUCUGAAAUGGAUCAGAAAUAAAGGAAGGGUUUUGCUGAGGCCCUGCCACAUCAGCCUGCUUAGCUUAAGGAAACUGUGAGUAGGCUGAGUGCCUGUCCAACCUGUGCACCUGCUUUACCUCUGUGCACCUGUGGCAUGUAGCAGCAGAAAUCACUGUUGAAAGUCGGACCUUGUUCAGAACAUCCCCAGGUGCUUCUGAAAGUCUUGUCCUCUCCUGUGCUGUUCUAAAGACUCCAAAUUACAGUUAAUUGCUAGGGCUCAGGUGUUCUGGCAGAGCUCCCACCAGUCAGCCUCCUACUGGGCAGGCUGUGUUGGAAAGCUGGUGGGACUCAGACCUUUGGCUGCCCAAGAGUGAGGGUCAUUCCCCACCCUGGAAGGAUGAGAAUAGAAGAACGUCCAGUGCAAGAGCAAGGUGGGUUGAGGUGUUAUCACCCCCCAGGCCAUGCUGAUGGGCUGCAGUGCAACAACCGAGACCCAAAGGCCAGAGCUGCGACCACAUUUCAUGGGAAGAGUAUUGAUGUUUAUUGGAUGGCACUUGGGUCUAGCUGAGAAAUCCCACUACACUUGGAGAACCCCUGUGAGAAGAACCAGAGUGGCAGUGGUUUUGCAUGGUUUGUGGUGCUGACUUAUUCUUUUUAUGUGGAAAGUGAGGGCCCCAUCAUACUCUGGGUGAAAUCAAUGCCAGCAAAGCCUGUAAUUAGGCCACCUGCCUACAGAGCCAUCCUGCUUUUAUGAGGUUUUCCACACUGGCUUCAAUUCCUCUGUUAGAGACUGUCAGUCCCUCCCAUGUUUUGUACAAAUAAUCAGGAAGAGGUGCCCCUAUAAAUGAGAUAGGAACUUGCAAGGCUUUUCCUCUGACCCUUCAUCCACUUUGGAGAAACUCCCAAAAUUGAUGGCAGGUGUUGAAGCCAGCUGCAUGUGUUAGUCUGUUUCUCUCGUUCCAGAAUGAUCUGACUGGAAAUAAAACCAGAGAGUCUGUUGAUUUCAGGCAGGUUAAAUAAUUUUGCCCCAUAGAUCAGACUGGUUAAAAACAAGUCUUAAGGAAAAUGUGGAGGUCUGGGGUUUAGUGUUGGUGCACUGCAUCAGAAAAGAGACACAGCUGCAGCUGACUGGGAGGGGGGGGCAGGGGGGAUGUUCAGCUGCCAGCAAUCUGCAGUAUUGUGGCAGCAUUUCUCAGUUGUGUCUGAAAUUUAGCAGAAAAUCACCCCCAAAAGUUAACCUGGUUUAUAAACUUUUCCAAAGGUGAAAGAGGAGAGUAAUAGCUGCAGUGUUAUCCCAUGGAUUUCAAGAGGAUGCUGCCUCCAGGAGAGCUGGCUUGGAUCACACUGGGAAGCACAGUAACUCAAAGCCCUGGGGAACUGAAACUCUUCAAGAGCUGAUGCAAAUGAGACAGUUCUCUUCAGGCUGCUGCUCUUCUGUUGGAGACUUUGUGAGAGAUCCCUUGUCAGGAUCCCAAAUAACUUGAAACAAGUGAAGGCAUUGGAAUCACUACAGCAGCAGCAGUCGUAUCAUUAGAGCAAGGUUGUUUGCCUUGCCAGAAGAUUUCCUCACUCCCAUCAGCAGAGGCAGCUUUCUGACACGCAGCGGUUUCACCGAUCGUAUUUCAAGUGACCCUUGUAAUUGCUCCAUGCCGUAAUUGGUUUUCCUGCCACUCUCACGGCUCUGUGGUGACGCUUGUCCUGCCACUGCCUGCAGAGCUCAGUGCCAUGUGCCUUGUUGGGGACGUAGCCUUCCUCACUGUGUGAUGAAAGAUGGUGGAGACUUCAUCCAGCCCAGACUGUGCAGGAGGAGAGGAGCAAAUCAAAUGCAGGAGUGGCAGCAGAAGUUCCCGGAGAUGCUCUGAGCCUCUUGUUUUGUUUCUGAAGGAAGUUUAUUAAUAAUGAAGGGGAGAAAUUGAUCGGUGGAUCCACAGAAGGAGGAAAACGAGCAGUGUACUCUCUUCACAAAACAAAGAAAAAGCAGUGCAAGAAGAGAGCAUUCACCUCUCAAGUGGCUGCAUUCCAGGGGGGAAAAAAGGGAAAAUUCAGGAGCAGCUUUGCCUGGCUGCCUGCAGACAAGAAGCCACACUGGCCUCCUGCCUGCUCCUGGGCUGCCAGCGGAAGCUUUGCCAUGGACUUGGCAGCACCGUGCCCAAAUGUUGCCCGGCUUUGUGCUGCGCUUCCCGGUGGGGCCGGGAACACGGGCUGGAGGAGCUCUGCAUGGGAAAGCAGCUGCGUGUGAGCCGCCUGCUAAGCACCUCGAGGCUGCCUUUGGUCCUCGCUGGAGGUUGCCUUAGCAUAAAUCAGCCUGGCCUUGCUGCCUUGCCGCCUCUGGGUUUGCCACCUUUAUGAGGACGAGCGAUGUCAUUGUCAAUGCUGAAUUUCAUGACUUUUUCAAUGCUAUGAAAAAUGAAGACUUAGUAGAACAGUUUAACGACAGCCUGAAAGGAUGGAGGUGGUCAAGUCAGCAUUUCAUUCCUGCAUAUAAACUCAGCUUUGCUCUAAGCAAAUUCCUUGAAGCAACCCAGCAUCUCAUCCUGGACAUAUUGAUGACCGAACCUGAAAUAAAGGUGAUUUUGGCAGCUGCUUUUUGACACUGAGGAUUCAUCUGGCCAUACACUGAGCCAAUACACCUACUGAGGUCCACAGGAGCGCCCUUUGUCCUCUAGCACAAUGGGAAACUCUUCUCUGUGAUGCUGCUAUAGAAAGAACGAGCUGUUGGGCAAUUGAUGCCGUUCAGCACAAUGUGCCAGAUUGCUGAUAUGCACCAAUAAUGCCAUGUUGUUAAUUGUCUCUGUGGUAGAGCUCUGUAAGUAGAGCUUGCCUCAUCUGUAGAAAUGAGGGAAGUGAGCUGGUGUGUCUAUUAUUUAUAGACACAUUCUGUGCUGUAUAAAUGAAUUUUUCAUAGGAAAACUUUGUACCAAAAAAAAGGCAUUGGAGACUGCUUCAUAAAUAACAGUGACUGGGAACUUCAAAUAUGAUUUGGGGAAUGGGUGAAUAUCCUCUUAGUCCCCUCCCCUUAAGGUUAUCCAGAUGGCACCCUGAGCGCUCUGAAAACAGUGGUGCUUUGACCCUGGGGAGAAAUCUCAGCUCUGUUGCGGACAGCAGCAGGAUUGCAAAACACUGCACUGCAGCUUGUGUUGUCUUCAGUUGUCUUGCAAAAUUGAAGAGCCCAUGUUCAAAUACAAUGCUAUUAGUAUGUUGA